GAUGAACGCCGGCGGUGUGCCUAAUACAUGCAAGUCGAACGCGUUGGCCCAAUUGAUUGAUGGUGCUUGCACCUGAUUGAUUUUGGUCGCCAACGAGUGGCGGACGGGUGAGUAACACGUAGUGUAACCUGCCCACCGGCAGCCGGGGACCAAACCAUUUGGCAUACAGAAUGCUAAUUACCCCCAUUUAACCAGCGUUGUUCGGCAUGAACAACGCUUAAAAGAUGGCUUCUCGCUAUCACUUCUGGAUGGACCUGCGGUGCAUUAGCUUGUUGGUGGGGUAACGGCCUACCAAGGCGAUGAUGCAUAGCCGAGUUGAGAGACUGAUCGGCCACAAUGGGACUGAGACACGGCCCAUACUCCUACGGGAGGCAGCAGUAGGGAAUCUUCCACAAUGGGCGCAAGCCUGAUGGAGCAACACCGCGUGAGUGAAGAAGGGUUUCGGCUCGUAAAGCUCUGUUGUUAAAGAAGAACACGUAUGAGAGUAACUGUUCAUACGUUGACGGUAUUUAACCAGAAAGUCACGGCUAACUACGUGCCAGCAGCCGCGGUAAUACGUAGGUGGCAAGCGUUAUCCGGAUUUAUUGGGCGUAAAGAGAGUGCAGGCGGUUUUCUAAGUCUGAUGUGAAAGCCUUCGGCUUAACCGGAGAAGUGCAUCGGAAACUGGAUAACUUGAGUGCAGAAGAGGGUAGUGGAACUCCAUGUGUAGCGGUGGAAUGCGUAGAUAUAUGGAAGAACACCAGUGGCGAAGGCGGCUACCUGGUCUGCAACUGACGCUGAGACUCGAAAGCAUGGGUAGCGAACAGGAUUAGAUACCCUGGUAGUCCAUGCCGUAAACGAUGAGUGCUAGGUGUUGGAGGGUUUCCGCCCUUCAGUGCCGGAGCUAACGCAUUAAGCACUCCGCCUGGGGAGUACGACCGCAAGGUUGAAACUCAAAGGAAUUGACGGGGGCCCGCACAAGCGGUGGAGCAUGUGGUUUAAUUCGAAGCUACGCGAAGAACCUUACCAGGUCUUGACAUCUUGCGCCAACCCUAGAGAUAGGGCGUUUCCUUCGGGAACGCAAUGACAGGUGGUGCAUGGUCGUCGUCAGCUCGUGUCGUGAGAUGUUGGGUUAAGUCCCGCAACGAGCGCAACCCUUGUUACUAGUUGCCAGCAUUAAGUUGGGCACUCUAGUGAGACUGCCGGUGACAAACCGGAGGAAGGUGGGGACGACGUCAGAUCAUCAUGCCCCUUAUGACCUGGGCUACACACGUGCUACAAUGGACGGUACAACGAGUCGCGAACUCGCGAGGGCAAGCAAAUCUCUUAAAACCGUUCUCAGUUCGGACUGCAGGCUGCAACUCGCCUGCACGAAGUCGGAAUCGCUAGUAAUCGCGGAUCAGCAUGCCGCGGUGAAUACGUUCCCGGGCCUUGUACACACCGCCCGUCACACCAUGAGAGUUUGUAACACCCAAAGUCGGUGGGGUAACCUUUUAGGAGCCAGCCGCCUAAGGUGGGACAGAUGAUUAGGGUG
rnacentral:rRNA from 1 species